ensembl:misc_RNA Metazoa_SRP Metazoan signal recognition particle RNA
GCCGGGCACGGUGGCGCGCGUCUGUAGUCCCAGCUACUCGGGAGGCUGAGGCCGGAGGAUCGCUUGAGUCCAGGAGUUCUGGGCUGUCGUGUGCUAUGCCGAUUGGGUGUCCGCACUAAGUUCGGCAUCAAUAUGGUGACCUCCCGGGAGCGGGGGACCACCAGGUUGCCUAAGGAGGGGUGAACCGGCCCAGGUUGGAAACGGAGCAGGUCAAAAGGUAAUAACUAAUAUUUUUAAGUGCUGGCAUGUGACUUCAUAGAAUGCUGAAAAUUGACAGCCUAUAUCUGUGUAACUAAGUGCAA